GCUAGUGUGGCAUAGUGUUUUGGGAAUUGGACUACGACUCUAGUGACCAGGGUUCGAUUCCCAGUUCAACCA
rnacentral:tRNA from 1 species